UGCUGACCGGGUGCCUGCACUAAGUUCGGCAUCAAUAUGGUGACCUCCUGGGAGCGGGGGGGCCACCAAGUUGCCUAAGGAUGGCUGAACUGGCCCAGGUCAGAAACGGAGCAGGUCAGAACUCCUGCACACGACUGGUAGUGGGACUGUGCCUGGGCG
rnacentral:sRNA from 1 species